AACGAACGCUGGCGGCAUGCCUAACACAUGCAAGUCGAACGAAGGCUUCGGCCUUAGCGGCGCACGGGUGCGUAACGCGUGGGAAUCUGCCCUUUGGUUCGGAAUAACAGCUGGAAACGGCUGCUAAUACCGGAUGAUGACGAAAGUCCAAAGAUUUAUCGCCAGAGGAUGAGCCCGCGUUGGAUUAGGUAGUUGGUGGGGUAAAGGCCUACCAAGCCGACGAUCCAUAGCUGGUCUGAGAGGAUGAUCAGCCACACUGGGACUGAGACACGGCCCAGACUCCUACGGGAGGCAGCAGUGGGGAAUAUUGGACAAUGGGCGCAAGCCUGAUCCAGCAAUGCCGCGUGAGUGAUGAAGGCCCUAGGGUUGUAAAGCUCUUUUACCCGGGAAGAUAAUGACUGUACCGGGAGAAUAAGCCCCGGCUAACUCCGUG
rnacentral:rRNA from 1 species